rnacentral:rRNA from 1 species
GGGGGGGGGGGGGGGGGGGGGGGGGGGGGGGGGGGCGGGGGGGGGGGGCGGGCGUGGGGGGGGGGCUCGGGGGGCGAGCGGGUGGGUAGCGCGGGAGUAACCUGCCCUUGGCUGUGGGAUAACUUCAGGGAACUGGGGCUAAUACCGGGUAGGAGCUCCUGCUGCAUGGUGGGGGUUGGAAAGUUUCGGCGGUUGGGGAUGGACUCGCGGCUUAUCAGCUUGUUGGUGGGGUAGUGGCUUACCAAGGCUUUGACGGGUAGCCGGCCUGAGAGGGUGACCGGCCACAUUGGGACUGAGAUACGGCCCAGACUCCUACGGGAGGCAGCAGUGGGGAAUAUUGCACAAUGGGCGGAAGCCUGAUGCAGCAACGCCGCGUGCGGGAUGACGGCCUUCGGGUUGUAAACCGCUUUCGCCUGUGACGAAGCGUGAGUGACGGUAAUGGGUAAAGAAGCACCGGCUAACUACGUG